rnacentral:rRNA from 1 species
AUUGAACGCUGGCGGCAUGCCUUACACAUGCAAGUCGAACGGCAGCACGGGAGCAAUCCUGGUGGCGAGUGGCGAACGGGUGAGUAAUACAUCGGAACGUGCCCAGUAGUGGGGGAUAACCCGGCGAAAGCCGGACUAAUACCGCAUACGACCUACGGGUGAAAGCAGGGGAUCGCAAGACCUUGCGCUAUUGGAGCGGCCGAUGUCAGAUUAGCUUGUUGGGGGGUAAAAGCCUACCAAGGCAACGAUCUGUAGCUGGUCUGAGAGGACGACCAGCCACACUGGGACUGAGACACGGCCCAGACUCCUACGGGAGGCAGCAGUGGGGAAUUUUGGACAAUGGGCGCAAGCCUGAUCCAGCCAUGCCGCGUGCGGGAAGAAGG